UACUGCAGGUUUUUGAAAAUGUAAGCUGUUCUUGCAGCUCGCUGUUCUAAAUGAAAGAAUAUGGAUGAUGACUGCUGAUCUUUUACAUGUUAAUGACAUUAAUUAGGAAACAUUUACAAGGAAGAGAGCUGAAACCAUUUAUUUGGGUGCAAGUUCAAGGUCAUUUGCGAUUUAUAGAUUUGACAUCUGAAAGAGCCGCGUAUCAUUCGUUCAUUCUAUGAAUGACAUGUACGUAUAGUUGAGAGAUGAUAGUAAGAUCAAUUUUAGGAUGGUUUCUGCACAACAUUUUAUAAAUGGGGCCCCAGAUUUUCAAAUAGUUGUAUCUCGGCCAAAUAUUGUCCUAUCCUUACAAACCAUACAUCAAUGGAAAGCUUAUAUUCAGCUGAUGUAUAAAUAUGUGUAUAUAAUGCUUAUAUAUUCAUUCCUCAGAAAACUUUGCAAAGAGUCAUUUUGAGUUCCAGACCAGAGGAGAGGUGCACAAUGUGUUUCUAACUCAUUGUGUCUGUGUGUGUGUGUGUGUGUGUGUGUGUGUGUGUGUGUGUGUGUGUGUGUGUGUGUGUGAGUGUGAGUGAGUGUGAGUGUGAAGGGCUGUUCUAACAAAACAAUUCUAAAACAAAGGUGCUAAGUGUCGCUAACUCUACAAGAAUCCAUAAGGAACAUCAGUGACCUCAUUUCCUGUUGGAGUAAUCAUGAAUAGAGUAUUGUUGAUAAUGAGUAUUGUGUCUAAGAAAAUUAAGGACAUCAAGCCUUCAUCUAGAACAGUAAUGUCACAAAGUGUUCUUGUUUAUGUCUAUUUCAUGAAGAUAUACAUCUAAACAUCUGGCCUUCAUAAUUCACAGUCCUGUUCAUGAAGUUGUUUGUCUUUGGGAUUACAGAGAUUAUUAAAAUGGGGAAAUUCCCAGAUUUCCAUAAAGCCGUCCUUCACAGCGUCAAUGAAAGGCUGGAGGUUCAAAUCUAGACUAUCAGCAAUUUAUGCAGUAGCUGAAAACCAAAAGCAUGAUUUAAGAGCAGUGUAGUCAGCUGUUUUACAGUUAACUGGGGUUACCGGGAGGCAAAAGUGCUGGGAAAGGGAGGCUCCAGACAGACAUUGAACCCUGAUAUUACAACAAGUCCUGGCAGGACAAUCUUUUGUGAUAUCACUUGUGUUCCGCCCAAUGAGCUCACUGGGCCAGCUGAUCAUGUUUUCCAGCUGUGAACAACAUAAGAACCUGUAGAAACUGCCUGACAACAUCAGUGACACAAAAAACAUGAUUCUCAGAAGAUGUUAUUAAUGGGGCAACCCUCCCCCACAUAGCAAACAACAUGAGCGAGGAAUAAGUCUGGGAAUGAGAAUAGCUGACCAAAAGUGAAAAUUAAUUAUUAUACCUUCUGUAGAGCUGCUCAGCUGAUUUUUUUUUCUUUUCAGAAUUGAUGAACUUUGCAACAAUGCCAAGCAAUUUCAUAAUUGAUUAAUUUUGCAAUUAUUUUCCUGUUCAUUUCUGUAAAGCUGCUUUGAAACAAUCUGUAUUGCAUAAAGUACUAUAUAAAUAAAUGUGACUUUUCAAAACUGUAUUUUCUGUGGAAAACAAAAAGAGAAACUUAGAAUAAUGUUAAUGUUGCUAUUUUUAAUACCAUGAAAGCAUACAAAGCAUAAUAUAUCAAAAAAGCAAACCCCUUAAAACUUAACAGUAGUCUGUUAUCAGUUGUGCACUGUAUUCCUAGUCUUCUAUUAAAGCUUUGUUUGAGGCUAAAUUUGUACAUGGUUUUCAGAAAAAUAUUAUUUAAAUUUUGCCAUGUUCCUCACAUAAAUAUAUUGAAUGACUUCUAAAGACUUCAAAUAGAACACAAGUUGUACAAUACUUUCAUGAUGCCUGUACUUUUUGGACUCUGAAAACCCUAUUCACUCUAAAAAUCCACACCCUUGCAUCUCGAAACCAGAAAAUACAAAUCAUACAUGUUGUGACAUUUAUUUAUUUAUUUUAAUUUGGCCGUGGGUGUGUAGUGCCACUAGAAUCUGGAUUGAGAUUACGUCAUGUUUGAUUGAGCGUGAAGACAGGUGUUUUCCUAUCUGAGGGUUAUUUCCAUGAUGGUCCAUUGAUGUUAAGAGAUGAGCCGGUGGGAGGAGAUGAAAAUCAUUGGAGGAACCUCUCUAUGACUGAUGGGCACUUUAGACAGAGAGAUCUGAUCUGUCUGAUCCUCACAAUACAGAUGAAGAAAUUCUGCUGGCAUCCAUUCACUGUUCUGAUGAAGAAACAAACUUAUCUACAUCUGAAUGGCAAAACUAUUAAAUUAGGAGCUUAAUUUUUGAAUGCAUAUGUAGAUUGUAUCCUAUUAUAUUUUUGCCUAUAUAUUUGAUUAUUCUUAACCUUACGUAUAAGCGGUCUCUUUUACAUUUAUGAGAGAUUUUAACAGCAUCCAGUAUUAAACAUUUCCAUCCUCAUGGAUUCUAUGGAUGGAUAGAUAAUGUUAAUAUAUUAAAGACAUACAGUAGAGCAAGGGUGUCCAAUCUGUUUCUGGAGAUCUACCUUCCUGCAUCAAACACAGGGUCAGAUCUGAACUUUGCAAGCAGGCAGAUCUCCAGGAACAGGAUUGGGCAACCCUGCAUUAGAUGAAUGAGACUAAGGACUGCUUGCAUCCCAGAAUCCAUUGUGUUUUGCUGACAUCUUCAGAACAGGCAGUUCCUAUUGGCUGACGGCAGCUACUGUCAUGCUCUGGGUUCUUCACUAGAGGGCACAAAACCUUCAUUUAUAAUAAGGCUACAACACAGAUUUAAAACUCACUUCGCUUCCACUAGUCUUUGUAUGUGUAUGAAUGUGGCAAACAACACAAACCAUGUGGUAUUUAGACACAUACACUUGGUAUUUAGCACAUACAUGAACUGUGUGUUUGUGUGUGUGUGAUUGGUGUGAAGGUCUUUGUCACAGUCUGUGUCUAUUAAUGAAAGCUGAGAGGCUCAGUUUUAUGUUUAACACUCAUUGACUCUGUGGAAGAGUUGUUCCCAUGUGUUUGAGAAUGCUGAUGUACUAAACAUAGCUCCUGUCCUUACAUGUUAAGAAAAGUGAGAUGAUUUACUCGUGCCGGUAACUGAAUGACUGAGAGCAUGACACAUUUCUAUCUGCCAGCUCAUACUGAUAUUAAUAUCCACACGUGGAUCAGCACUGCGGGUUUUUUUCUACUGAUUAAAACUGAGUGCAAAUUUUGAGUGCAUUUUUUAAAAUGUAAGAUAUAUAAAAUGGGGUUUAUUUUACUACAUUAUCCUGCCUUUGCAUGCCUACUUAUUGUACCAGAUAAUAAAUGUAGAUGAAAUAUUAAAAAAUAUGAAGCUAUGUAGAAAAUCUGUCAACAUUCAGUUACAGUUUAGUGGUCAUUUAUAUCUGAAUACAAAAUGCAGCUAUUGACCAAUCACUAAAAAGAUGGUAGUAAAUAAAAAGCUAAUUGAUCAAAGGUGAAAUAAGGAAGGGGCCUCAUCUGAAACAUGAUCAGUUGAGUGAAGUUCAUCAUACUGAGUAACGUUGGCUGUGUUUGCUCUGAGGUGACUUUUCACAGCAGCUGAGGUGGAAGGAAUGUGAGUUUAUCACCUCUCCAUGUAUUCAUACUGACUACACACACAUAGGAUUCUCUGGUUAUGUUCAGAAUGGCAUGCUCCACACUAGUCUUAGUAUUCUGCAAUACUAUUUGAUAUACAGUAUAUACACAAUGCACAGAAUGCAAACCAAAUGAAUGCAAUACAAAAUGGCAUACUACAUUUACCAAAAUGUGCAGUAUACAAGCAGAGCUGUAUGUUUGGAAUUAAAUACUAGCUUUCUAGUUACAGUAUACUAUGCACUGUAUAUGGUUGACUUAAAAAAUAGUGAGACGGUAACCAUUUUUAAACAAUAAACAACAAGAAUCUGUAGUCACACUUAACACCUGUCAUAGUGUAGUUAUACAUUCAAGUACUGCUAAUAAUAUUAAUAAGGAUUAGGGUUUGGUUUAGGGUUGGUUGCAUGUAAUUAUGGAUAAUUUACUAUUAUUACUAUAACAAGUAAAUGAAAGGUCAAGUGGAGUGCAUUGCAUUGUGGGUGCAAUGCAGUGAGUUCAUUGUUCUUUCCAGAUCCAUCUCACUUCCUGUCUCUCCUCAGCUGUCUACUCAAAUAAAGGUAAAAAGCCCAAAAAUAACUUUAAAGAAAACAACCAGUUUUACUUUUAAGAUUAUAACUGGAGGUCACUCACUCAAUAAAACACACAGUCUGACAUUAUUUGUAAAUAUUUGCUCUUAGGAAGUAGUGUAAAAUGCUUGUUUUGCAUUAUGAACAUUAUCUCAUGCAUUUAAGUAGAUCUAGUCAUAUUUAAGCCUUUUAAGUACUGUACUGAAUGCAUAUUAAAUAUUGUCAUACUAUAUCAAGGUGAAGUGUGUAGUGGGCUAUUCUUGUCUGCAGCUAUUCUUGUUAAUUGAUGUCAACAGUUGUCUAUAAUAUCUGCAUUUACACUGGCUCACCAAAAGAGGGCACUAUCACUGGAAUUCUAUGGAGAAACUGAUUAUUUUCACCUGGUUUCUGUUGAAUGUUUAUUCAUAGUCUCACUAUUGUCAUGCUCUUUGUGAAGUGUUGCUAGCACCUAUUGUACUGUAUCGCUGAAUGUAUCAUAUUUUGUUGUUUUUACUGGGCAUGGUUAUUGAUAUGUUUUAAGAUUUUGUUUGGCUUCGAGGUUUGGAUUAUUUACUUGUCAUGUGCUAUCGUGUGUUUGAUGUUGAUGCUUGCAUCAUUUUGUACAUUCACUUAUUAUAUAACCUGAACAGUCAGAUUCUAUGGUUUUAUGUUGAGUGGCUUGCUAAACUAUACAGACCCAUAAGUAAUAAAUAGCCUAUUCUUAAAUAUUCUUAAAUUAUCAUUGUUAUUGUUGAUUUUUGCAUUAUAAUUUUUCUAUAAUGAACCAGUAUGAAACAAAAAUGUCGGAUUUUCUGAAUUCUUAAUAACUUUAUUACAAUAGUUGCUAUUGUAUUGUAUUGUAUUGUAUUGUAUUGUAUUGUAUUUAAGUAUCCUGUGCUAACCAAGGCUGCAUUUAUCUUAAUCAAAAUACAAUAAAA
ensembl:lncRNA